rfam:Cavia porcellus supercont2_0 genomic scaffold, whole genome shotgun sequence.
UGGCACCCCUACGUGGGACCCAAGAAUGGGGGACUUAGUGAUGGAUGCUGUUCAGGGGCCCAAAGUAGAAAAAGGAAAAGAGAGGACCAAUGUAGGAGCCUGCCACGCCGCUGAACCUCGGUAAUUGAACAGCGAUUAUGGGACAAGAAAUUAGCCAGCAUAGAUUUUUGUUGAAAAUUUUGUAAAACUUUUAAAGACACAAGGAGUUAAGGUGAAUAUUGAACAAUUAUGCCAAUACUUUGAUUUUAUACAAGAGGUUUGACCUU